rnacentral:rRNA from 1 species
CACGUAGGGCGCGAGCGUUGUCCGGAAUUAUUGGGCGUAAAGCGCGCGCAGGCGGUCCUUUUAAGUCUGAUGUGAAAGCCCACGGCUCAACCGUGGAGGGUCAUUGGAAACUGGGGGACUUGAGUGCAGGAGAGAAGAGUGGAAUUCCACGUGUAGCGGUGAAAUGCGUAGAGAUGUGGAGGAACACCAGUGGCGAAGGCGACUCUUUGGCCUGUAACUGACGCUGGAGGCGACGAAAGCGUGGGGAGCAAACAGG